rnacentral:rRNA from 1 species
UACGUAGGGUGCGAGCGUUGUCCGGAAUUAUUGGGCGUAAAGAGCUCGUAGGCGGUCUGUCGCGUCGAUCGUGAAAACUUGGGGCUUAACCCUGAGCUUGCGGUCGAUACGGGCAUGACUGGAGUUCGGCAGGGGAGACUGGAAUUCCUGGUGUAGCGGUGAAAUGCGCAGAUAUCAGGAGGAACACCGGUGGCGAAGGCGGGUCUCUGGGCCGAUACUGACGCUGAGGAGCGAAAGCGUGGGGAGCGGACAGG